UAACAAGAUACAGAAUCCACCUGCAAGAUUCCAAUCUCAGAACAUCAAAAAGAGAAGGUCCAUAAUGAUUUAACAAAGAUGCAUUUUGCAAUUUAGGGCAGAUAUAUAGUCAGAAACAGUUCCGGAAUAAGAGUCAAAAACUGCCAAAUUUGGAGAAUUUAGCUAGGGUUUCUCAAAAAGGAAACAAAUUGAAGAAAUUAAAAGCAGAAUCAUGUCAAAGUCUAAACAUUUCCCAGAAAACGCGUGAUGGGUUUUUGUAGCGAAACCUACCAAUGGAAUUGAGAAACGAAGAAAGGUAAGAACUUUACCAAUGGAGCUUGAAGACGAAAA